rnacentral:rRNA from 1 species
UAGGGAAUCUUCCACAAUGGACGCAAGUCUGAUGGAGCAACGCCGCGUGAGUGAAGAAGGUUUUCGGACCGUAAAGCUCUGUUGUUGGUGAAGAAGGAUAGAGGUAGUAACUGGCCUUUAUUUGACGGUAAUCAACCAGAAAGUCACGGCUAACUACGUGCCAGCAGCCGCGGUAAUCGUAGGUGGCAAGCGUUGUCCGGAUUUAUUGGGCGUAAAGCGAGCGCAGGCGGAAGAAUAAGUCUGAUGUGAAAGCCCUCGGCUUAACCGAGGAAUUGCAUCGGAAACUGUUUUCUUGAGUGCAGAAGAGGAGAGUAGAACUCCAUGUGUAGCGGUGGAAUGCGUAGAUAUAUGGAAGAAUACCAGUGGCGAAGGCGGCUCUCUGGUCUGCAACUGACGCUGAGGCUCGAAAAGCAUGGGUAGCGAACAGGAUUAGAUACCCUGGUAGUCCAUGCCGUAAAACGAUGAGUGCUAAGUGUUGGGAGGCUUCCGCCUCUCAGUGCUGCAGCUAACGCAUUAAGCACUCCGCCUGGGGGAGUACGACCGCAAGGUUGAAAC